UGUCCUUUCUGGACGAGCAAGACACAAGGAAAAGCAACUACUGAACUCUGCCAAGACAGGGAAAAUAAUCAGAAAAUACCUACUGCCAGGCUGGAAAACAGGGUUGAGCACUCUGCCAAUUCCUACGGACUUAUAAUGGCUUCCAGAAAAGCACCACACCACAACAAACUACUCCAUUACGGAUCGGAUCCUGAAGCCAUUCUGGGUCGGUGGAAAUAAGCUGUGAUUAACUGUCAUGUCUGCCGCGAUCACAGCAUAGUGCGCAAGGCCACAUUUUAUCAAGAAAAACAAAUAGAUUCCACCAGACAGCAAACUUAAUCUAAAAAAGAAAUUCACGGCAGCAAUGUAAAAGUGCUAAGAAUAAAACAGAAACUCCUGUUGUUCACAUGAAGAGGCCAUUUUCUACACAGCCAGAUAUAGCAAGAGCGUGAUGAAAAAUAACGAUAAUUUCAUGUCUGAGGCGCAUGUGGGCAGAGGAGAGAAGACCGAGACAUUCAACAGCCAGUCAACAAGGGCGAGCGUCAUCCUCUCUGAAGCACUGUCCCGGGUCAGGACUCACGAAUGACAUAUUCAUGUUCUACCCUGUGUCGUCAGGACCAGAGGCAAUGGCCUAAACUUGGUGACGUAGGGCUGCGGGGACUGCUGUCUGCAAAUAAAGCUUUACGACAGACGGUGAGCACUGUUGGAGGACUGGGCACACGUGCAAGCAGCCAGCCAGAGUCCCAAGACUGAGCAACAUCGUUUCACCAGAC